rnacentral:lncRNA from 1 species
GGGCAUGGGGACAAACAGGAGCUUUACCAGGCAGGAGCUGUGCCAGCUGCACGGGCACGUCCUACUCCCUGCUUCUCCCCAUCACAGCCCGCUGCCCUCACACCCUCUGUCCCCCAGCUCCCCAUGCCUGGCUCCCGCACGCCCUCCCCACAGGCACAGCGAUGGCAGUGGCGGCCGUCGGCCUCAUCCUCAUGUCUGCAGGCAGCUGGUUUGCCAUCAGGAAAGGUGAGGGAGUGGAGGAAGAGGGGGGAAAGUCUGAGGCCAUUGGGGUCCUGCUAUGGGGCUGGUGCAGUGGCAGAGGAGUUCCGGGGAACCUGGAGGUGCACAGCUGGGGCAGACGGUGCCUGGGAGUGAUGCCUGUGGCCAACCAAGCUGGGGAGGCUGCUGAGGGAGCUGGGGAGCUUCAGCCUUCAUCCCCCAGCCCCGAGAUGGGAGCCAGGGCUGGGCAGCACCUUGGCCUGUGCACCUCAGCCCCUGUUCUUCUUGCAGGUGCCUGCAGAGGGAGAUGCCCAAGUGCUCAAGACUCUUCUGCUGACCCCAGCCAUUUCUAUGCCAACGUGGAUGAGAUGGGCAGAGUGAAGCUCUCUCAAUCCAACUGCUCUCAACAGCCACUGCAUGCCAAAAGCUGAGCAAGGGAGAGGCGAUGCUGCUGGUUCUCUGAGAGAGGCAGAGAACACUGGGGAAAGCCUUGCUGAUCAUCGAGCUGUGAAUAAAGCCACCCCAAACAGGAAGGAGCUGGUGUAG